ensembl:snRNA U6 U6 spliceosomal RNA
GUGCUCGCUUCAGCAGCGCAUACACUGAAGUUGGAAUGAUACAGAGAAGAUUAGCAUGGCCCCUGUGCAAGAAUGAUAUGCAAAUUCAUGAAGCAUUCCAUAUUUUC